rnacentral:lncRNA from 1 species
UUCACUUGCCCCUGGAAUUGGGCACGAAAGACAAGACUUUCUUGAGCACAAGGUCCCUCGGAACACACGAGGCUUGACCUUCUUGUCGAAUGCUUUCACCACUCUCUGCUGAUAUAACUUGACCAUGACACAUGGCAGUUGAUCUUUUCGUUCUUUCCGUCGAAUUCAGCAUUAGUCAACUUGGGACUUUGAGGGUGCUAUUUUUCUUUUGUUUUUUUUUCUUUUGAUUUUGCUUUUGAUUUUGCUUUCUUUUGAUUUCUUUUGAUUUUGCACCCUCCUCUUUCUUUUUUCUUUCUCUUUUUUUUUUGAUAAUGCCCCAGUUGGUUGUUCUGCUGAUUCUCGAGAUGCAGCUGAGUGAUCUUCUUUUCUUGCUCAAGAAGUCGGGAAAUCUCGUCAGGAAUCCCUUCAACAUCAUCUUCG